CCUUCGAUAGCUCAGCUGGUAGAGCGGAGGACUGUAGAGGCCACGCCCCACGGGAAUCCUUAGGUCGCUGGUUCGAUUCCGGCUCGAAGGA
rfam:Taeniopygia guttata chromosome 2, whole genome shotgun sequence.